UACGUAGGGUGCGAGCGUUGUCCGGAAUUACUGGGCGUAAAGGGCGCGUAGGCGGCCUGCUAAGUCACACGUGAAAUCCCUCGGCUCAACCGGGGAACUGCGUGUGAUACUGGCGGGCUUGAAUUCGGGAGAGGGAUGUGGAAUUCCAGGUGUAGCGGUGAAAUGCGUAGAUAUCUGGAGGAACACCGGUGGCGAAGGCGGCAUCCUGGACCGAGAUUGACGCUGAGGCGCGAAAGCUAGGGGAGCAAACGGG
rnacentral:rRNA from 1 species